GUCUCCGUGGCCUUGUGGUUGAGGCAGUUGCAUUCUAAGCCAGAGACCCUGGUUCGAUUCCCUGCAGAGACA
rnacentral:tRNA from 1 species